CCUACGGGUGGCAGCAGUAGGGAAUCUUGCUCAAUGGGGGAAACCCUGAAGCAGCAACGCCGCGUGGAGGAUGAAGGUUUUCGGAUCGUAAACUCCUUUUGUUAGAGAAGAUAAUGACGGUAUCUAACGAAUAAGCACCGGCUAACUCCGUGCCAGCAGCCGCGGUAAUACGGAGGGUGCAAGAGUUACUCGGAAUCACUGGGCGGAAAGAGCGCGUAGGCGGGAUAGCAAGUCAGAUGUGAAAUGCUAUGGCUUAACCAUAGAACUGCAUUUGAUACUGUUAUUCUAGAGUAUGGGAGAGGUAGGUGGAAUUCUUGGUGUAGGGGUAAAAUCCGUAGAGAUAAGGAGGAAUACUCAUUGCGAAGGCGACCUGCUAGAACAUAACUGACGCUGAGGCGCGAAAGCGUGGGGAGCAAACAGGAUUAGAUACCCCUGUAGUC
rnacentral:rRNA from 1 species